AUUGAACGCUGGCGGCAGGCCUAACACAUGCAAGUCGAACGGUAACAGGAAUCAGCUUGCUGCUUUGCUGACGAGUGGCGGACGGGUGAGUAAUGUCUGGGAAACUGCCCGAUGGAGGGGGAUAACUACUGGAAACGGUAGCUAAUACCGCAUAACGUCGCAAGACCAAAGAGGGGUACCUUAGUGCCUCUUGCCAUCUGAUGUGCCCAGAUGGGAUUAGCUAGUAGGUGGGGUAACGGCUCACCUAGGCGACGAUCCCUAGCUGGUCUGAGAGGAUGACCAGCCACACUGGAACUGAGACACGGUCCAGACUCCUACGGGAGGCAGCAGUGGGGAAUAUUGCACAAUGGGCGAAAGCCUGAUGCAGCCAUGCCGCGUGUAUGAAGAAGGCCUUCGGGUUGUAAAGUACUUUCGGCGGGGAGGAAGGGAGUAACGUUAAUACCUUUGCUGAUUGACGUUACCCGAAGAAGAAGCACCGGCUAACUACGUG
rnacentral:rRNA from 1 species